rnacentral:rRNA from 1 species
GAUGAACGCUAGCGGCAGGCUUAAUACAUGCAAGUCGAGGGGCAGCGCAGUGUAGCAAUACAUGGGCGGCGACCGGCAAACGGGUGCGGAACACGUACGCAACCUUCCUUUAAGUGGGGGAUAGCCCAGGGAAACUUGGAUUAAUACCCCGUAAUAUUAUGAAGUGGCAUCACUUUAUACUUAUAGCUCCGGCGCUUAAAGAUGGGCGUGCGACUGAUUAGGUAGUUGGCGGGGUAACGGCCCACCAAGCCUGCGAUCAGUAACUGGUGUGAGAGCACGACCAGUCACACGGGCACUGAGACACGGGCCCGACUCCUGCGGGAGGCAGCAGUAAGGAAUAUUGGUCAAUGGACGCAAGUUUAAACCAGCCAUGCCGCGCGGAGGAUGAAGGUCCUCUGGAUUGUAAACUUCUUUUAUUUGGGAAGAAACCCACUGUUUCUACGGUGGUUGACGGUACCAGAUGAAUAAGCACCGGCUAACUCCGUGCCAGCCGCCGCAGUAA